rnacentral:rRNA from 1 species
CCCUUAGAUGUUCUGGGCUGCACGCGCGCUACACUGAUGCGCUCAACGAGUUUACGACCUUGCCCGGAAGGGUUGGGUAAUCUUUUUAAAACGCAUCGUGAUGGGGAUAGAUUAUUGCAAUUAUUAAUCUUUAACGAGGAAUUCCUAGUAAGCGCGAGUCAUCAGCUCGUGCUGAUUACGUCCCUGCCCUUUGUACACACCGCCCGUCGCUCCCACCGAUUGAGUGAUCCGGUGAAUAAUUCGGACUGCAGCAGUGUUCAGUUCCUGAACGUUGCAGCGGAAAGUUUAGUGAACCUUAUCACUUAGAGGAAGGAGAAGUCGUAACA